AAGAAAACGUUUCUAAGUGUUUCUUAGCGCCGAUACCGUGUUUCACUUCGUCAUCGGCACAUAUUUUUGAGCUUCCACAAUAAACUCCAGAAAAAUACUCAGCAAAAGGAAGACGUAGAUCAUUUUAUUGUCAAAACUCCAAUGGGCCGGCCUGGAAAGCCCGAAGAGAUAUCUGCACUAAUAGCUUUCCUUUGCUUUCCUGCUGCUUCUUACAUUACGGGCCAGAUUAUAUGGGCUGAUGGUGGAUUCACUGCUAAUGGUGGGUUUUAAUUGGACAUUGUAAUCUUUUGAACAAUAAUUUCAAUGGGUAUUUCAAAUAUUACCAAGAUGAGAGACAGGUCCUAAUUAUUAAUAAUAUGGCUUUUUGGGACUUCGUAAUAUUAUAAAAAGAAUAUAUUAUAUAACCGCUCUUAAAAUAAUAGCCGAAGAGUAUAUACA